rnacentral:lncRNA from 1 species
UACCAUACUUACGCAUGCGCGGUAUUACCAAUGAGUCCGAAUUUCAUAGAAACGUAAAUUCACGCUACACCGGUAGUGAAAGGAAUUGUAGGCUCUCACGAAGUAGAUGUGUUACGAGAUGCAGGUUGUAGCACAACAGUAAUUAGGAAAAGUUUGGUUAAUGAGGAUCAAAUGUUAGGAUCGCAGAGCCAUUGUGUUCUAUUGGAUGGUACUGUGCGUAACUAUCCAGUAGCUAGGAUUGAAGUAGAUUCACCUUAUUUUAAGGGCACUGUUGAGGCUUUGUGUAUGGAGAGUCCGUUGCAUGGGUUAGUCCUAGGCAACAUAGCAGGAGUAAGAGAACAGGACAAUCCGGAUCCAUUGUGGUAGUUGCCAGUAAUGAAGGAUGAGUUAGCUCGUCAAGAUACAGUAGAGGAUACAGUAGGAGCAGUACAGACUCGUAGUCAGAAGGCUAAACAGGAAAAACCGUUUCCAUGCCUUAAGGUCCCUACUAAGGAAAAUGUUGCUAGUACAGAUGAAUUUGCUAAGGAGCAGAUAACAGAUGCAACUUUAGAGAAAGUAAGAAAUCUUGCUGAGACAGGUUCUGUACGUAUUACAGGUAGUGCAAACGAGACCAGAUUUGUGAAGAACAGAAACCUGUAUUACAGAGAGUUUAAGUCGCCAAAGAUAGAGAAGGGUCGAUUGUUUAGACAGUUAGUUGUGCCUAAGAUAUUCAGAGACAAGGUACUUAAGUUAGCGCACGAUUCGUUAGCGCACGAGGCCUACACGGCGAUGUCAGGAGAUACUGUGCUUCGUGCGACAUAUGUCAGCGUACAGUCCCGAAGGGUAGAGUAGGAAAGGUUUCCUUAGACAAAAUGCCUCUCAUAGAUACUCCUUUUCGUAGGGUAGCAGUAGAUAUCGUAGGCCCCAUCCAUCCAGUUACAGAUCAGGGAAAUCGUUACAUUCUGACAAUUGUAGAUUAUGCGACCAGAUACCCCGAAGCUAUAGCAUUGCCUAGAAUAGAAUCAGAGAGGGUAGCUUAGGCACUUCUUACCGUUUUCACUAGGGUAGGAGUUCCACAGGAAAUACUUACCGACUUAGGGACUCGGUUCACCUCUGAAGUAAUGCAGGAAGUGGGGCGCUUGCUUUCAAUCAAUCAGUUGCAUACUACCCCAUAUCAUCCUAUGUGCAAUGGGCUCGUCGAGCGCUUUAACGGCACAAUGAAAAGAAUGCUUCGCAGAAUGUGCGCAGAACGCCCCAAAGAUUGGGACAGGUACCUGCCUGCGUUAUUGUUUGCUUAUCGUGAAGUGCCGCAGGAAAGCUUAGUUUUCUCGCCAUUUGAGCUACUGUACGGGCGUACGGUCAGAGGCCGUUUGGAAAUUUUGCGGGAAUUAUGGACAAACACUACCAGUGAAGAAGAAAUCAAAACGACAUACGAGUAUGUCAUUGAUCUCAGAAAUGGGCUUGAAUACCUGUCAAAUGGCACAGGAAGAAUUGUCAAAAGCAUCAGGGAGGUAUAAGAAAUACUAUGAUACCAGAACCAGAUAUAGGAAAUUUGUAGAGGGAGACCAAGUUCUUGUACUAUUACCCAUACAGACUCAAAUAAAUUGUUGUUACAGUGGAAAGGUCCUUUCGGAGUGACAAGUAAAGUAGGCAAACACGACUAUCGAAUAGACCAAAAUGGCAAGACAAAAAUAUAUCAUGCCAAUUUGUUGAGAAAGUAUGUCAGAAGGGAAAAUACAUAAGACAGGGUAUCUGCAGGUUCAUGUUUACAACUGUUAGGUGCAGGAAUUGUAGAGUUUUAAGAUGAUGUUGAUGACGUGGUAAAUAGUGAGCUACCAUCAGUCGAACAAACUGAAACUGUUCAAGAUGUUCACAUUGGUCAAACAGAGAGUGAAACUGAAUCUGCCAAAAUUCAAGAGCUGUUGAGUGAAUUUGGGGAUGUUUUGACUGAUUUACCAGGUAAAACAGAAUUAAUCGAGUUCAAGGUAAAACUGACCACCACAGAUCCAGUAAAAUCCAAAGCUUAUCAAGUACCACAUGCAGUUAGGGACACAGUUAAGCAAGAAAUUGAUGCCAUGUUGAGAAUGGGGGUCAUAGAAAAGUCGGAAUCGGCUUAUGCGUCACCAAUUGUAUUAGUUCAUAGACCAGAUGGCAAGGUGAGAUUCUGUAUCGAUUACAGAAAAUUGAAUGCAAUAACAGUUUUCGAUCCAGAACCUAUUCCGAAUGUUGAGGAUUUGCUUGUUCAAAUUUCAGGUGGAAAAUUUUUCACUAAACUAGACCUAUCUAAGGGCUAUUGACAGAUCCCCGUCACAAAAGAAGAUAGAGAGAAAACAACCUUUGUUACUUCAGAAGGAGGAUUAUUUCAGUUUACCGUAUUACCAUUCGGGUUAGUUAAUGCACCAGCCGUAUUCAGUCGUAUGAUGCGUAGAUUACUUGAUGGUAUAGAUCAUGUGGUUAUCUAUAUCGAUGACAUAUCAAUUUUCACAGACACAUCCGGGCAACACAUUGAGGUAGUUGGCAAAGUUCUAGAGAGGCUCCGUGGAGAGGGUCUCACUGCAAGACCAAGCAAAUGUUAAGUUGUAUAUAAGUCACUUGAGUUCUUGGGGCAUGUUGUGAGUAAAGGGUUAAUUAAACCAGUCCCGAGAAAGGUUGACGCAAUUUUGGCCACACAGAGACCCCGCACAAAAAAGGAGGUCAGGUCAUUUUGGGGUUUGGUAGGGUACUACCAAAAAUUCAUACCAAAUUUCUUGGCCAUUGCCGCACCUCUGGCAGAUUUGACAAAGCACGGGAAGUCAAAUAAUGUUGAAUAGGGAGAACCACAAGAGUUGGCGUUCAAUUUUACACCUGCCGAUUUUACACCUGCCAGAUACAGAUAAGACAUAUGUAGUUCGUACUGAUGCAUCCGAUAAAGGUCUAGGUGCUGUACUCAUGCAAGAAGUGGAAGGGGAAAAGUUCCCUAUUUGUUUUGCAAGUAAGAAACUUCUAAAAAGAGAACAAGCGUAUUCAGUAAUUGAAAAAGAAUGUCUGGCUUUGGUAUGGGCAGUGAAGAAGUUUCAUGUGUAUUUGUAUGGGAAACAGUUCGAAAUUGAAACAGAUCAUCACCCACUUGCAUACAUAGCUAAAACCAAGCUGAGUAAUAGCAGAGUGAUGCGUUGGGCUUUGAGCUUACAGCCAUAUCGAUACGUAGUGAGAGUAAUUAGGGGUAAAGACAAUAUUGGAGCAGAUUUUUUUGAGUCGUUGUCUACCUUGAAUGUACGAAAAAUCAAAUUUGUGAAUUAUAAGAAGGAUGAAAUUUAAAAUCAUUCCAUCUUCUUCCAGUGGGGAGUAAUUGUCACAGUUGAUGUGAAUAUUUAAUUUCCAGACUUAUACUGUAUAGCUUUUUCUUUUUGUGAUUGUAUUAUGGGGAAGCGACCCCAACCUAAUUGAUAUAUAUACAUGUAUACUGUGAAACUUUUUGUCAUUGUAUUACGGGAGAGACCUCAACCUAAUUCACAUACUCUGAAACUUUUGUGUGUGAUUGUAUUAGGGAGAGACCCAACCUAAUUUUUUUGAUGUAUUAGAAGUCCACGAAGUUGGAAUUGGGGUAAUCUUAUCAUGACUUGACUCCAGUUGAACACUUUGGCAUUACAAUGUAUAAGCUGUAAAUCCUAUAAGUAUUUAACAAUGGUGGGAUUUAACUGAGCAGUCCGUGCCUGUCAGUAAAUUAACUUGACAUGUUCUGAGGUUUUGAAAUACUUUUGGACCAUCAGUCUUGGUUAUAAAAUCCAGAUUGGGGCGUUGGCUAGGCACUUGGAGGCGAGACCAGGACCUACACUACGUCAGGGCAUGUUAUGCUCAUGUGUACCCACAUUGGGGAGUUGUAGGUUCCUAGUGAACUGAGUUUGCAAUUAUUUGCGCCGUUGGGAAUGAGUCCCACAGAGUUGGUAUAGGCUGCGGCCGUCCUCGUGUCCUCGUCAAAGUCAAUAAAAUGUAGACCAGGUUAUUCGCCAUAACCUGGUUUUUGGGACGUAACGUCUGGUUUUGGGAACUCCGCACAGUGAGAUAGACAUCCUCGGCGGGCCGAACUCAAGUCGACCAUACCAGCAGGAUUGUCAGCAAGGUCACACGUGGGCAGAGGACUCUACGGACACAGACGGUACUACCAGGGCAGGCACCGGUGCACCACACCCACAACCACAUCAAACCCGAACACUUCACACGAACCGUUGAUUUGGGCCCACUUUCGUUGAUUGUUUUGUAAUGUAUUAAUAAUGAUGUAUUUAUUUAGUUUCUUUGUAGGAUGAAAUUUAAGUGUAUGUUAAUAUUGGUGAUAUUGUGAAUUAAUUCAUCUUGAAAUUAUAUACAGAUCUGUCCUUCUUUCAUUUUGACUGAGUUGAGUCUUUACCAUCAGAGUUUAAUCUAAAGUACCAUUCCGGGGUCCUCCUGGUUGAGGGGGAUCUUGUGACAGUGUCCAUGUUCCAAAAACAAAUAGUGGGGCUGUUGAGUGAUGUGAUUGUGUACUUUGUGACUAAAGCAUGAAACUUCGCACGUUGGUUCUUCAUGCCAUGAAGAAAAAUGUGAGAUGUAGAGACUUUUCAUAUUUGACCUCUGGUGACCUUUGAGAGGUCAAUGACCCUUCGUACACUAUUUAUAACAAUUUGUUCUUGAAAACACCACUUUCUUAUUGCCCAAGUCUGUGUCAUAGGUCCUCAGGUAGGGAAAAUAAAGAUCAGAUGUGAAAGCCAAAAAAA